rnacentral:rRNA from 1 species
CGAGCGCAACCCCUCGCAUUCAGUUGCCAUCGGGUAAGUGCCGGGCACUCUGGAAGGACUGCCAUCGACAAGAUGGAGGAAGGUGGGGAUGACGUCAAGUCAUCAUGGCCCUUAUGUCCAGGGCGACACACGUGCUACAAUGGCCGGCACAACGGGAAGCGAGUUCGCGAGGACGAGCGGAUCCCUCAAAGCCGGUCGCAGUUCGGAUUGAAGUCUGCAACUCGACUUCAUGAAGCUGGAAUCGCUAGUAAUCGUGGAUCAGCCAAGCCGCGGUGAAUACGUUCCCGGGCCUU